rnacentral:snRNA from 1 species
GUGUUUGCUUUGGCAGCACAUACACUAAAAUUGGAACAAUACAGAGAAGAUUAGCAUGUCCCCUGCACAAUGAUGACAUGCAAAUUUGUGAAGCAUUUCAUACUUUU